rnacentral:rRNA from 1 species
AACGAACGCUGGCGGCAUGCCUAACACAUGCAAGUCGAACGAGACCUUCGGGUCUAGUGGCGCACGGGUGCGUAACGCGUGGGAACCUGCCCUUAGGUUCGGAAUAACUUCCCGAAAGGGGUGCUAAUACCGGAUAAUGUCUUCGGACCAAAGAUUUAUCGCCUUUGGAUGGGCCCGCGUUGGAUUAGCUAGUUGGUAGGGUAAAAGCCUACCAAUGCGACGAUCCAUAGCUGGUCUGAGAGGAUGAUCAGCCACACUGGGACUGAGACACGGCCCAGAAUCCUACGGAAAGCGGGAGUAGGGGAUAUUGGACGAUGGGGGGAGGGCUGACGCAGCAAUGACGCGUGAGUGAUGAAGGCCUUAGGGUUGUAAAGCCCUUUUAACCGGGAUGAGAAUGACAGUACCGGGUGAAUAAGCUCCGGCUAACUCCGUG